rnacentral:RNase_P_RNA from 1 species
UCUUGGGUAAUCGCGGUCUACUUUGGUAGGCUGAGGAAAGUCCAUGCCCGCACAAGCUGCGAUGCUUGUAGUGUUCGUGCUCAGCCCAAUAAGCUGAGGCACUAGCGUAAGCUAGUGACGGCGAGUAAAAGCGCUAAAGGCUUAUGGUCCAUGCGUGAGUAACUCUAAAAGCGCAACAGUGACGAAGCAUUACUGGAAACGGUAAUGGUGGAACGGGUAAGCCCCACGAGCGAGUAACCCAAACUAUGGUAGGGGCGUUCCGCCACGGCAAAUGAACCAGCGACGGAACAGUUACUCUUUGAGUAACCGAGAUAGAUGAUUACCGAAAUACUUAAUCUUCCUGCGUUAAGUAUGGAACAGAACAUGGCUUAUAG